rnacentral:rRNA from 1 species
UACGUAGGGUGCAAGCGUUGUCCGGAAUUAUUGGGCGUAAAGAGCUCGUAGGCGGUUUGUCGCGUCGGCUGUGAAAACCCGAGGCUCAACCUCGGGCCUGCAGUCGAUACGGGCAGACUUGAGUGUUGCAGGGGAGACUGGAAUUCCUGGUGUAGCGGUGAAAUGCGCAGAUAUCAGGAGGAACACCGGUGGCGAAGGCGGGUCUCUGGGCAACAACUGACGCUGAGGAGCGAAAGCGUGGGGAGCGAACAGGAUUAGAAACCCCCGUAGUCC